rnacentral:lncRNA from 1 species
GAAAGAGUUCCGUUUGACAAUCCAAACACACGCAUAGAUUGUUUCAACCACUGGUUACAUACUCAGUUGGUUAAUCAACACAAGACAACUCGAUCUACAAAACUACAUAUAUGACUCUUAUUUACACGUAUAAUACCUAGGCAGAACGGGUGAACCUAGGACCCUGCAGACCCACCACAUUCACAGGUAAAUAUGCAAGUGAUCAUCCGUAUAUGAGCUUACAAAUACUACUGUACUACACAUAACUUAGCCUUCCAGUACAGCUUAAACAGAAAGGUUUCGUUUCAGACCGUGCCACACCGUAUGUCACACCCACAGAACACCCAAUCCGUGUUUGUCUAACAUAAUGUUACAAGAUGAAUCGAAUAUACAAGUACAUACACCAACACAAUGCUCUCUUCCGUUCCUCGGUUAUACAACACGGGCUUAUACAAAUUACAUUAGCAAAACACUCACACUGUACGUCCGUUGUCACUACCACUUUUGGUCAACUAUGGAUGACUUCUUUGCCAAUGACUGCCUCCUUGAACUUGCUUGUGAACACGUUGUCUUCGUAUCUAGUUGCCCCACCAGAGAGAGAAGAGAGAGAGGGAGAGGAUGUACUGCAGCAUCUUCAUGAUAAAAGUAUAGUUUACAUCUAGUUUGUUUCUUCCGGGGCCCAGUCUACCACGAUUGCUCCGUGCCGUCAUUACCUGUAACGUUUCUUUUUUUACAUGCAUAAAAGGAGGCCAUAAACAAGAAUGUGCAAGGUUGUCAAGUAAAAGGAAAAAUAUGGCUUUUCCCGUAUGCUACCUUUUCUUCUUGGUCUUUUCGCUAGAGGAAGCUGUGUUGCUGCUGUGCCAGUUCCUUUUGCGUUGGUUGAUGAACCAAUUGUUGAUCUGCUUCAGUUGUAACCCCGUCUCCUGCACCAGGCGAGCCUUGUCGUCUUCCUGGAUGGGUCAGGCAGGAAUUGUUCGUCAUGGACAGAAACUAAUAGCAAGAUGAAGCUUGGAAAUGGUAGUAUCACGUACGGUAGGGUACGGCCACUUGGAAUGAGCUUGCCACCAGGCUUUCAAUGUAGCUGCAGUAUCCCCGGGAAGUUUACCAGCUCUCCUCUUGCGCAUGAUCUCCUCCCUGAUAUCAACCAGCUUUUCUUUGUACCCCUAGAGGUAGGAAGUUUUUGUUAGUCGUUAAACAUGUUGGUCACUCUUCAGCCAUGAAUGAUGCAAUGAAGCACUUUUUAGGCUGCAAUGUUAUUAUUACCUGUUUAAGCUCACUCUUCAGCUCAUGCCGAACACGUUCAAUCAAAGACCGUUCACCCUCGGUCAAUAUCAGGGGACCAAAGCCCAUACCAUCUGACCCAUCGUUUCCAUCAAACAUGUUGGUCUCACUAUCCACUUGGUUAUCUUCAUCAUCGGACAUAGUCGCCCCAGUGCCUUCACCAGGAGAUGCCCCUGCAGGAUAAAUCCACAGGAGCACAACUCAGUUUUCCAUUUAUUCUAUUUAUGAUAAUCAACACUUCUUUAGGUUAUCCUCAAAAAACAUGUGUUCUACUCCCUCCGUUCCUAAACAUUUGUCUUUUUAGAGAUUUCAAAUGGACUACCACAUACGGAUGUAUAUAGACACAUUUUAGAGUGUAGAUUCACUCAUUUUGCACCGUAUGUAGUCACUUGUUGAAAUAUCUAGAAAGACAAAUAUUUAGGAACGGAGGGAGUAAAUGUAAACAUAUAAACAUCUGAAGACUAAAACAUCUAAAGAAAUGUGCAGAUUAAGUUCCAAAGUGAAAAAUUAAGGUAUGCAAAGUGAAUUCCUGUACAUAUUCUACCCUGUAACUAAAGCUGUGAUUCAUAAAAAUUGUUGCUGAAGCCUCGAACAUGACCGUAAAAUUAUGGCAUCUGUGACCUACAAAAGCACACAAAACGGAAAACCGGAAAACGUACAAGCAUAAGAGAGAAGACUUUGGCAGGCAGACCAGAGCAUCCUAAUCAUUCAUUCAUCACAACAGAUUAAAAGUUCCCACCCAAAUAUGCUCGAUACUUAAUGCAUGUUAAACAAAUCCAGACUAACUGUUGAUAUCUAUUUCAUGAAUGGGUCUUGAUUUCAUAAAUAACUUCAGUAGAUUAAGUAAUGUGGCUUCCACAUGUGCACUAGCUAGUAUACCUAAGAAGAUACUCCCUUUAUAUUGUAUUGUAAGGACAAAGCCUUUAUAUCAUAUUGCAAGGACAAAGAUUUUUCCUGCCUAUUCUUACAAUAAUAAGACGUGCAUGUUAAUUUACCGAUGUUUUUGUUGUUUCCUCAUUUAUCAAACUUUCCUUCUCCUUACUUAUAAGGGCCAAUUCACGAGUAAUUCCCUCUGCAAAUUCCAAGGCGUUUUAUAAUUUGAAAUGCAGGGCAUAAGUAUAAUAACAUAUGGUCAGAUCUGUGGUCAUGAAUGGUACUCCCUCCGCCCGGAAAUACUUGUCGGAGAAAUGGAUGUAUCUAGACGUGUUUUAGUUCUAGAUACAUCCAUUUUUACCCAUUUCUCCGACAAGUAUUUCCGGACAGAGGGAGUACUUAAGAGUGCCAAACUUAAUGUUAUUUUGGCAGUUGUAAAGAGGUGAGGCAAGGAGGGGGGGAGGGUGUCCUUUUCUCUUUAACUUUGCUGCAAGUUGUCUGCAUGAAGUUCAGCUGGCACAGGAAAAUGAUUUAUUUGUUGGGCUAGUACCCCACAUCGAGACUCCCCCACAUCGGAUGAAUCAUGGCAUAGCAAUAUUGCAGCAUGCUGAUGAUACCAUCUUGCUCAUGCAAGAUAAGCUGGGAGGUGCCUGGAAUUUGAAGCUGCUGCUUUACAUGUUUCAACAAAUGGUUUGAAAAUGAACUUUCAGAAAAGUGAAGUGAUGAUGAUGAUGAUAAGGGGCUGAUGUAUGCUGAUAUGUUCAACUCCCAAAAGGGAGUAUCAUAUUGAGUACCUGAGAGUACCAGUGUGUAGUAGCAGAUUACUUGUGGGCAUGUGGCCGAGUGGGCGCCAUUGAGGAAAAACUCAAGCAGACUUGAUGGAUGGAAGGGAGGAACUCUAUCCAUGGGGGUAGAGUAACUUUGAUUAAAUCUAGUGUGUCCAGUAACCUCAUUUAUCAUAUGUCAAUGUAAAGGCUGCCGAAGACAAAUAUUGAUGAUAUGAACAGAACAAUUAGGAAGUUUUUCUGCCAGGGUGGUGGCACCAAAAGGAAAUAUCAUAUCGUUAGGUGGCCUAUCAUAUGUAGACCCAAGAACAAAGUUGGCCUGGGCAUUCAUGACUUGGAGAAAAUCAAUAUCGGCCUGUUGUACAGGUGGAGGUGGAAUUUAGCGAAAAGUGAAGGGAUGUGGCAGGAGAUUGUGAGAAAGAAUUAAAAAAUACAAUCUAGGAUUUGACAGGUUGCUCGAAGUGCUGCUGAUACAGCAAGUUGGGCUGAUUUGGUAAACGUCAUAUCUUGGUAUCUGCUCAGCGGAGUUAUGAAAAUAGGAAAUGGAAGGCAGACUGGCUUCUGGGAAGAUAUACUUGGUGCAGCUCCAGGCUUCUGAGCCAAAACAAUACUGACCUGUUUGCGAUCAGUAGUGAUCUUGGGUGCAGUUUCAGGCAAAGGGCAGAUAGAGGGUGGCAAUGUAACAUUAGGAGAUGGUUGGAGGCAGAUUUGCAAGAACAGGCUGCAGUACUACGAACUGAGCUCAGGGUGGCUCUGAACAAAAACGCAGCUGUACCCUGCUGGACAUGGAUGCAAGCGGAUGGUGUCUGCAUGUCCACGACCGUCCGCAGAGCAAAAAUUGCACUAAUCUUCAUUACUUUAAUAACCAUGUUAGUGUAAACUUUCUGUUCGCGGAUGGUCACGGACAUGCGGACGCCGUCCACUUGCAUCCCUAGGGCCAAGCUUGGCAGGUUCACUGUCUAUACGCACAUAUCAGAUUAUGGUCCUGAUUGAUCCUUUAAGCAUCUUUGAAAAGCCAAAACUCCAGAAAAGAUGAAAACUUGGUUCUGGCUGAUUUGGCAUAAUCCCAUAGCAACCAAGGACAGCAUGGUAAAAAGGCCAUGGGCAGGGGACCCUCUGAGUGGCUUUUGUCCUCAACAUGAGAGCAUUCACCGCUUGUACUUUGGCUGGCCUGCUGCUAAAUACAUGUGGUGUUUGGAGCAAUGGAUUGGUGUAGGGGCAGGCCUGGCGUUUCUCUAAGUAUUUUUGGGGGAUACCCAGAAAUCUUCCUGCCAAUCAGAAGAUGCAGAUUGUUGGCCUUGCAGCAUUAUGCUGGGAUAUGUGCAGCUUAGAUACAGAGCUUGUUUUACAAUAAAAUAAAUUAAUUAGAUCACCUGCAGAAAUAAUUUGCUACUCGCGCAGUUGUGCUGUUUCCUGUUGUAUUGGGCAGGUAUUCAAAAUGCCGAUGACCGAGCAGCCCUAGAAAUGAGGGCAGUGGCACUGCAACUUAAAGCGCCUGCCCCGCAUGAUGAUGGUGCACAUGAAGCUGGAGGUGAAACCCUGCAUAUUACUCAUCCUGGGCCUGGUGAAGGAGAUGGUCCAACUGUUGAUCCUUCUCAUGGUGCACUUGAUGACCGAGAGUGUUUUGAUGGAUGCUCGCUUUGCUGUUUGUGAUCCUAAAAGUUGCUGGUUGGCUUAGGUGUUAGGCAUCUUUGGUACGUGGUGUUGGCUGGAGUGCCGCUUUUGCAGCCCUUGGUACUGUAUGCCUCUCUGGCUGUAAAUCUAGAUCGAACCUCUAGUGCUUCUAGUGUUAGGGUGGUAGCUGAACUGCUUUUGUUUUCUGUUUCUGCACUGGAUCUCUGCACCGUUAUUGGUACGAUAGUGGGACCCGGUCCUUUCUUGGAUCGUAUGGAAUAUAAGUAUAAUAACAUACAACGGAAGCUCAUAAGCAUUAAAGGUAGGCCUAUGAUAGUUGGAAAUUUCUUAAAUCAGUUAAUCCUAUCGCUCAAAGUUUACACAGUGGGAAACCUUUUAAAAUAUUUAAUUAUGUUAUCCGCCUGAUAUCCAUUUUUCUUUCAUUUUUCAUUUCAACUACCACCCUUUUUGGUUUCCACAUUAUAAAUAACUACAUACUAUAUACUUGCCACUCUGCUCAAGCAAUAUACACAGAUAAAAGCUUUCAUUUACCUGUUAGACUUUGUAAGGAUUGUUCAAGCUCCCAACAACCCAUCACUGCUUCCAUUGCAUGAACACGCACAUGCUGCUGGAGUUGUUCUUUAAAUGAACAGAGAAGCAAUACAUAAUGUGUCUGCAAUCCAAUGAAGAAUAAUUAGAACCCAUAAGAAGGAUUGUACACAGAAAAAGAAUAUUGUGCUAGAUGUAAGCAACAUAUUCAUUUCUUAGAAGAUAUACAAGUUUCAGAAAAGUAAAGGAAAUUCUAGUCAUGCGACAUAAAAGCAUUUUAGAUGAUCAGUAGAAGUAAGGGCACUACUAAAUAAGAUUGAAGUAAAGACAGAAAUGGGCAAUUCAUACAGGCGAGCAGGUCUACUAGUAUGACAUUUCAGGUCUGACAAAUAAGCUGUUAAUACCACAAAAAGGCCCGCCAAUGACCCAUGGCGUAUCUAUACUACUCCCUCUAUUCCUAAAUAUAGGUUUUUUAGAGAUUCCAAUAUGGACUACAUACGGAGCAAAAUGAGUGAAUCUACACUCCAAAAUAUAUCUACUCCCUCCGUUCGGAAUUACUUGUCGCAGAAAUGGAUGUAUCUAGACGUAUUUUAGUUUUAGAUACAUCAAUUUUCGAGACAAGUAAUUCCGAACGGAGGGAGUAUAUACAUCCAUAUGUAGUUCAUAUUGAGAUCUCUAGAAAGACUUAUAUUUAGGAAUGGAGGGAGUACUUCAACAAGUAUGGUGCCACUAUAUGGAUGAACCUCAGCGUAGGAUAUAUACUGUAUCUGCUUUGGUUUCAUUUCUCAUUCAUACAAACAAAUUGAUAAGGCUAUUGCAGCAGCGUUGUUACAAUAACCAGCAACCACUAGUCAGAUCGACCCUCCAAUUCACCAUAAGGAGCACAUCAGAAAUCCAUCACUGGCCCUAAUCAAAACCUAUGCAAAUUUUAUCCCAAUUUCUCCCUAUUCCGAAUUCCAAUUGUUCACACGAAACAUAUACAGAAUACAUGUACGGCACCCAGUGGCAACGCAGGAAAAAAUAGGCAGGGGCGUGAAAGCCAUAGAUACCAUGAAGAGGUCGAGCUCCUCGCCUCCGGAGGGCCCGCCCGCGGCGGCGGCGGCGGCGGCGAGGGGGGGCGGGCGGGCCGCGAUCUGCGCGUCGAUGCGGGGGAGCUGGUCGACGGGGGUGGCGACGCGGAGGCAGGCGACGUGGGCCUCCAGGAGCCGCUCGUACAGCGGGUGCGCCGCGAUGGCCGCCUUCUCCCUCUCCCCGCCGCCGCCGCCGGGAGAGAAGCUAGGGUUUGGCGACGAGGCAGCGGCCGCGGCGGCCGCCGCCGCGUCCAUCNNNNNNNNNNNNNNNNNNNNNNNNNNNNNNNNNNNNNNNNNNNNNNNNNNNNNNNNNNNNNNNNNNNNNNNNNNNNNNNNNNNNNNNNNNNNNNNNNNNNNNNNNNNNNNNNNNNNNNNNNNNNNNNNNNNNNNNNNNNNNNNNNNNNNNNNNNNNNNNNNNNNNNNNNNNNNNNNNNNNNNNNNNNNNNNNNNNNNNNNNNNNNNNNNNNNNNNNNNNNNNNNNNNNNNNNNNNNNNNNNNNNNNNNNNNNNNNNNNNNNNNNNNNNNNNNNNNNNNNNNNNNNNNNNNNNNNNNNNNNNNNNNNNNNNNNNNNNNNNNNNNNNNNNNNNNGGGGAGGGAGGCAGGCGGGGACGGGGACGGGGGCGGAGGCGCUCGGGGGGGGGAGGGGAGGCGCAACGACCUCGGCGGUUGUGGGUUUUGGUUGGUGGGGAUGGGAGGGACGGGCGGAGUGGAUGACGGAUGGCAGGGUGGGUUGGCGUCCUUGUCGCGGCUGACGACUGUCCGCGAGCGAGCGAGCGAGCGGGACGACGAGCUCGUCAAAAUAUGUGAGGUGUGGACUGCAGAGACGUGCACCCUACGGCGUCGAUACCGACGAGGAGAUACAGCUGCUGGCCGGCGUGGAGACCAAAUUACAAUUAAAAAAUCAAUUAAAAGUGUUAGAACCCGUAUUUAUGUACUUCCUCCAUUCAGAAUUACUCGUUCAAAAAAUAAUGUAUCUAAAUGUAUUUUAGUUGUAGAUACAUUUAUUUUUAUUCAUUUUUGUGUCAAGUAAUUCCGAACGGAGGGAGUAGUAGUUUCGUAAUCAAGAAAAAUCUAACGUCACAUUUUAAGUAUUUUGGGAUGAAUGUUGUAAUAACCGUUGGAUUGUUCGCACGAAUAUUGACCAAGAGGGUGGCAACGUCACAUUUUGAGAUAGUUCGAUGUCCUAGCUUUUCACUCCAUACUCUCUGGCUCUCAUUUAAAGUGUUCCACGUCUGAACCACCCACUGCAUCCCACCUCAAUCCUAUUAUUAUUUUUCUCUCAAGUGCGUGCUCCGGUCCCUUCCUCUUCUCUCUCUGAUGCGGAAGAGAGCGGGGGAGUUGGCGAGGUGCGGUGGCUCGUGUCUAACGAAUCAUGUGUAUUUCUGACGAUUUUCAGAUGAGAAGGAUGGGGAAGAGAGGAGGCUGUUGUCGGUGUCAAAAUCGGCGGAUCUCGGGUAGGGGGUCCCGAACUGUGCGUCUCAAGCUAAUGGUAACCGGAGACUGGGGACACGAUGUUUACCCAGGUUCGGGCCCUCUCGAUGGAGGUAAUACCCUACUUCCUGCUUGAUUGAUUUUGAUGAUAUGAGUAUUACAAGAGUUGAUCUACCACGAGAUCGUAGAGACUAAACCCUAGAAGCUAGCCUAUGAUUAUGAUUGUGUUGUUCGUCCUACGGACUAAACCCUCCGGUUUAUAUAAACACCGGAGGGGGCUAGGGUUACACAGAGUCGGUUACAAAGAAGGAGAUCUAUCAUCCGAAUCGCCAAGCUUGCCUUCCACACAAAGGAGAGUCUCAUCCGGACACGGGACGAAGUCUUCAAUCUUGUAUCUUCAUAGUCCAACAGUCCGGCCAAAGCAUAUAGUCCGGUUGUCCGGAUACCCCCUUAUCCAGGACUCCCUCAGUAGCCCCUGAACCAGGCUUCAAUGACGAUGAGUCCGGCGCGCAGAUUGUCUUCGGCAUUGCAAGGCGGGUUCCAUCUCCGAAUACUCCAAAAUAAUCUUCGAACACUUGAGUCGUGUUCGGCUCUGCAAGACAAUUUUCACGUACCACCGUAGAGAGAACAAUAAUCCACAAAUCUAAUCUGCUGACAAUUCUUCGUAGCAAGACAUCACGCCACGGCCCGACCAUUAUUCGAACUGUUGUUUACAACCAGCUACUGCGCAUGUUGCGAGGCGGUUUCCUUGGCAUGUCUUAUCGAAGCAGAGAUCGUCCCCCCUUAUCGCGGGAUUCUCUUUAAUACGGGCGUGGGUAACCCAACCGCACCACCAAUCGCUGUGAGUGGAGGACGAGCAGGUUUCAUUAGGCAAGCAGGGAGGCACAAAGUUUCAUCGCCUCUAUAAAGAGGAAAGGCCUUUUCCUUUCUACCCACGCCUUCUUCUUCUUAUGCUCGUCCCUUUCCUUUCGCCCGAGCCCUAGCGCCCAAGCGUUCAUCUUCCCCACCAACAAAGGUUCUUCGAAAAUGUCCGGAUCCGGAGCAGGAGGCAAGUGGAUGGCCUCUUCCGUCUAGGAGAAGGAUAUUAAAAAACUUCGGGAGGCCGGGUACCUGGCCAAGAAAAUCGGCCACCGUCUUCCGAAGGCGGGACAGAUUGUCCCUACUCCGGAGCCCCAUGAGAGGGUCGUUUUCCUCCCCCAUUUCGUCCGCGGGCUUGGGUUUCCCCUUCACCCAUUUGUUCGCGGCUCAUGUAUUACUACGGGAUCGACUUUCACGAUCUAUCCUCCAAUUCCUUCCUCAACAUCUCGACGUUUAUCAUCGUGUGCGAGGCCUUCCUCCGCAUCUCGCCACACUUCGGACUAUGGCUGAAGAUCUUCAACGUAAAGCCCAAGGUGGUGAACGGCGAGCACGCCGAGUGCGGAGGCGCCAUGGUGAGCAGGAUGCCCAAGGUCACAUGGCCGACGGGUACUUUCAACGAUUCCGUCAAGGAGUGGCAGCAGCAGUGGUUCUACAUCACUGAGCCACGCGGCAAAAAAUGGGCCGCUGCUCCUGAGUUUCGAUCUGGAGCCCCUUUGCGACUCACGUCCUGGCCCAAGAAGGGCUUGAACUGGUCGUCGUCCGACGAACUGUCGGUGAUCCAGACACGCGUCAAAGGUAUGGAAGACAAGGCCAUCAAACUUGUUGACGUAGUCCAGGUGAUGCUGGUCCACCUGGUUCUUCCUUGUCAGCACAGAAGCUGUAAUUUGUGGGAGUAUGACCCGUCCGAGCACCAGACCCUGCGAGAGCUUUUCGGCUCCUCACACAAGGAUAUUUGGAAGGUGCUUUUUAAGUCCGGCAAACCGUGGCCGGACUCCGCCGUGGACCGCGGGUACCAACUGUCUCGCCCCGCAAGUCCGGUAAGUCAUCAUUACGUCUUGGUCAUCUGCAUGUUUCAUUGGCAUGUCCCGAGGGAGAUGUUUUAACGUGCUUUUCAACAAUUAUCUUAGGGAUGGACGAAGAAGACGGGGCGGAUACACUAUCCAGCCCCACUGCUGGAAGAACCGGCAGGACCACUUUUGACGAAGAUGCUGGUCCCAGCACCGUACGAGGCGCCGAAGAAAGAGGCCAACAAAGAGGCCAAGGAGACCAGGAGCAGCCUCCGUCGUCGCGGUGCCUCGGACACAAAGUCCGAAGACUCCAGUGACCAUCCUUCCUCCUAAGAGUAUGAGGAGGAAGAGGAAGAGUCCCCUACGGGGGGAGGGAAGAAAAGGACAGCCUCCUCAUCCCUAGAGGUUGAUUCUCCCAAGAGGAGAAGAACACCCAUCCUAGAGGUGUCCACCACGGCUACCAACAGCAGUCCGGAGUGGGAUCCCAGGGCCCAGCCCCUGAUAAACUCGUAAGUGCAUGAAAUUCGAACAUGUCCAUGCAUCCAGGAUUACUAAAGUGUAAUAUUUUGAUUUGCACCGAACUUUUUGCAGUCCGGCAAGGUCUCCCGCCGAACAGUCCUCAUCAGAGGAUUCAUUGAGCUCCAAUGCCUUAGAGAGCGAGACACCUCCGUGGGCCCCUUCCCCGAAGCCUGGUUGUGACAUCGAGGUGUCGUCCCAAAAGGACCUCGACCAGGGGGGCGUACCUCAGGGGCCGGACACACGGGAGGAGCGGUUCCCAUGAAUGUCGAUGGCGGGGGCGAUCUUGGAUUCGGCCCACAGUCGGACACAGUCCCCGGAGACCCUUGAGGCUCCGGGAUCAGGCAGGUAGCCCCUCUUGACUGGAGGGGGCGGUCCUACUUCACCUGCGACCUCUGUCCAUCCAGAGGUGUCGGGCAGCUUAUCGAAAGCGCAGAAGAGCGCUCCCAUCAUCGAUGAACAUCGCGCCCUUAUGGGCGCGGUGAUAGAAAAGAUUCAGGCCGCUGAGAGCGGACUGAAUGAAUCCUGCAUCAGCCUUAUAAAAGGCUUGGAGGUAUGUUUUAGGAGUUUUUAGAAGACUGUCAUAGUAUGGAUAGUAGCCCCUGAUACACUGUUCGGUGAGGAAGGGAACCGGACAGCGGAUCAAAUUUUCGUCCGCGGGAGACUCAGCUAAUGACAUAUAUCUCUUUCUUUAUGAACAGGCGUCUGCAGCGACUGCCUCCUCUCAUACUGUGGAAGUGUCCAGACUUAAGAAGAAUCUGGAGCGGGCCGAAGAAGAACUUGGUCGAGUAAAGAAGCAGUUGGAGGAUAAACAGGGUAUGUUGAAACCUUAUUAAGUUUUAGCACAAAUAAGUAGUUGUGCCUGAUUAAAGCAUUUAUAUUGCGCACUCUAGGGGCGAAUGCCAAAAUUGAGGCGCUCAAGAAGGCUGUUGCCUCGGCCGAAAAGAAGGCAGCCGCGGAGCAAGCUCUCCACGAGAAGCAUGAGGCCAGGGUCAUUGAAGUUGAAUGAGAGCUUCACGAGGCCGUGAAGAAAAGCGAGACUUUGGAGCAAAGUCUAUCAUUGAAAGAAUCCGAACUUGUCCAAGCUCUCCAAGCUGCAAAUGAUGCUCGGGAGGAAGCCCAAGCUGAUCUGAAGGAUAUUCAGGAGGCGAGGAAGAUUGCGGCUGGUAAGGCUUUUUCUUAUUCAAAGCGAUUUAUAUGCGGUAGCAGGAAAAAUUCAGGGUGACCCAUUGAAUCUUGAUUUCUCCAGGGGCGUCUGCGGAUCUGCUGCACAACAUAUCUGAUGCUGCCCAAUUCUAUCGAGCUGAGGAGAAGAAGACUGCGGAGAAGCUCUUUUGGUCGCAGUAUUUGGCCCCGAAUUAUCCGAUGCCAUUUGUCGACCAGCUGAAGCAGCUGGUCGAACUGCAUCAGGCGGCCGAACUAGCCAUGAAGGAUUUGAUUAUCCGGCUAUGGCCCGCCGAGCCCAUUCUGAGCAGUUUCUUUGGGCUUGUGAAGCAAAUUGUGAGUGCUUGCCCUCGGCUUGACGUCAUUAAGUGGUCGGUCUGUAUAGAAGGUGCGUGAAUGGCAUUUGCCCGUGCGGAAGUGCACUGGGGGAAGCUAGAUGCUGAGAAGCUGAUGACCAAGGGACCGCCGGAGGGGAAGGAGCACCGCAAGCCCGAAUUAUAUUAUGAUGGUGUCCUGAAAGGUGCCUGCCUUGUGGCGGAGCAAUGUGCGAAAGACAUUAUUUUUCCCUGAAGGCAGUCAUGCUGUCCUUUGUAAGGCAGAACAAAGUCACUUUUAUUUAUGUAUUUGCCUGUUAUAUGAAAGGUUUCUUCCUGUGCGGCCGUUUUAUAUAUUAAUCUUGAGAGUUGGCCAGUCGUCGGCUUUUGCCCCCAUGUAGGAAGUAUGGGGGUGUUCUGGAUACACCUGAACACUCUUUACCCCAUUCUUGGGUCCAUAAAGGAGGUGUUCAACACAACGAACCAGGCAAUCGGACUAUAGGGAUUUAUUACUCUCACUUAGCCAUAGGAAUUAGAGUAUGGUAGGCGCAGCCCCUGGUGUUCGGAAGACCGCACGAGGGGCUCUAACAGCACCUGAUCAAUAGACCGAUCCUUCGCACUCUGCAUUUUAUUAUGGCAUUAUGCGGAAUAAAUCCUUAAAAAAUUUACAACCUCUCGAACAGCUGACCAGCUCUCGCCUUAUCAUGACAGUCAGUUUUCGGCUUUCUCUACUGAGGUGCUCGUCCGGAAGAACCAGGACACAAUCGCAGUAGUUCUCCCAGCGCUACCUUAGCCGAUAUUGCGAAAUGUAAGGUACCAAAACAUGGGAGCCGGGCAAACCCAACUAAUGACCCAAGACAUGAUUCGGAGCUGAUGCAUAUAAUGCUAUAAGUUCGGGGUGCCGAACGACCGAGAAGGUGGUCGGACUUUGUUGCCAUAGUGCGGGUACAAUAAAGCCCCUAGCGUUUUAAGGCAUAACACGAUGUUCGGAUGCCAUUAUGACAAAAUGUCAGUGAGAAAUGAUAGCAGAUGAGCGUCAAAUGACUCUACAUGUUGUAUUCAAGUAAUACGGCUAUGCGUAUGAGUACAGUGCAUGUUAUAAAGGAGAGGCAUGACGGCAGAACAUGUUGGGACCGGGCGGUAGGGAGCUGUGGACGGAUCUGAAGUAAUAUUCGGAUUGUAUUCGGGGGGGUGUAUGAAGAUUCCCCUUUUGUGCGUCCGAGCUGAUUCCAUGUUGCCAGUCCAGUUAUGCGCAAAGGCGAACCUACAAAGAAAAUGCUAGAGGCGUUUGUGUGCCACGGAGCGGCUUAGCCGUGGGAUGUGACCCGUCCCAGCUUACGCCGGAGGGUUUAUCUGAGCCCAAAUCAGGCUGAGAUAUCGUGAGGUAGUUCGGGAUCCUUUAUUAGUGUCUGGGAGUUUGCUGUCGAAUCAAGGUUUGAUUGAAAAAGUCGCGACUCGCUGCUUCUGUUGCUAAAGUGGCCGAAUACUCUUCGGCGCCGAGGUGAAGCUCGGUUUUGCCCGUACUUGUGACUACGUCACAUGGUCUUGGUAUUUUAAGAUUGCCAUAGGCAUUGGCGUGAUACCACGUUGAAUCGCAGUUCGCGCUAGCGAUGCGUAAUAGCUACUGCCUAGAGGGAUACUGUCGAAGACCAAUUCUUUGGUAUGGUGACUUUUUGGUGACCCGAGGACCAUCUUCAGAGUGAUGGGGCCUAUACAACUGACCCUCGCACCUGGCAUGACACCUUGAAAUGAUGUGUUUAGUGGGUUUGAUCCUCGAGUGAUCAAUUCCUAUCUGGUGCACUGUGUCCUGGUGCAGUAAGUUUGGACUGUUGUCUCCGCCAAUAGGAGGAUACUUCUGGUUGAUACUGGCCAGAUAGUCUAGUCGAACGAAGAUGAUCGGCCGUAUGUUUAUGUGGUGGGGCGUCUCACUUUGUCGAGUUGAGGUCCUAAAGAGUGCAUGUCCGCUCCCAUUUGGGGACGGGGACGGUGUUUAUCAUGUUCAUUGUUUUGGUUGGUGGAAGAAAUUUCUUUUGCCCUGUAUUGCUUGAUGAUCUGGGCUCGUUGCUCUGAGACCCCCUCUUACUGUCUUCAGCGCCUGACCUGCCGAUUUGUUUAAAGACCCGACAUUCUCUAUUGGUGUGAUUGGUUGCCGUUCCUGGGAUACCAUGAAUUUGACAUGGGCGGUCAAGUAUGCGGUUCAGGCCGGAUAGGCCCGAAUUAUUACUUUGAGGUGUCUUCUCCCCGCUCACUGGACUGAGAGCCACGGACUCCUGCAUUGACUGCCAUGUCUUGGGCGUCAUCAUUGUUCUUGGGACGCUUAUGUUUGUUGCGUCGAGGUUUGCAAAUGCUGUUUCUGGCCUCUGAUGUGCUAGGAGUGCUUGUUAUGUUGUUGUUUAGUAUGUUUCACUGGUCUUGCACAUAGCCCCUGGCCGUAGUGUGUUGGCGGUGGGGUUUAGGCUGGCGUUCGGGCUUUAGUGCCUCCUCCUCGAAUUGAGGUAGUAGCCUGCGCUUUGGGUAAUGUUUUAUUCGGCGCUUGGGUCCAUAUUCCUCGGCUGCCCGAACCUUAGUCCGUCUGUCUGCUAGCAAAUCCUGAUUUGCUUGUAACUGUUGUUGUUUCUUCUUCAGGCUUCUUGCAAUGGCUAUAAGCCGGCGCUCGAAGCGCUCCUGCUCUAUGGGAUCCUUGGGCACGUUGAAUUCGUUGUCGCCUAGGAUCACCUCCUCUUCGGAGAGAGGCAUAUAAUUAUUGUCCUUCAAGUCUCCGUCUGUCGCCUGUUUGUCUGGGCUAGCUCGCUUGUCUUCCUGUUCGGCCUGUUCGAGGGUAGGCUGAUCGGGAUUAUAUUCAUCUUCGGCACCAUCCGGAUUGUGUUCAUCUCCUGUGCCGGUGUUGCUAUGGCGGGGCUUAGAGCGGUGCCGAUGACGACCAUGCUUUGAUUUCUUCCCUGAGGGGUUAUCUUCUAUUGCCUCAUUGCCAUUGUUUCCUUUGGGGGUGUCCACCAUAUAUAUAUAUAUAUAUCAUAUGAAGAGGUGGCUGUCCAACGUCCUAUGGGUGGUGGUUCCUAUUCUUCUCCAGCAUCGUUGUCCAUACCGUCGAUGUAUUUGGAGUCGAUGUUGAGCACGUCGGUUAAAUUAUCGACAGUGGCAAUGAAGUGGGUGGUGGGUGGGUAACGAAUUUCUUUGUCAUUUGCUUCUCAAUCGAGCCAGACAUAGUUCGGUCGAGAGUCUCCUGACAAAGAGAGAGACCUCAAUGAAUUUAGCACAUCACCGAAGAGGGAGUGCUGAAAGAUAUCCACAGCGGUGAACUCCAUUACCGGAGCCCAAUCAGAUUCAAUGGGCCCGGAUGCAUGCGGUCUGGAACCUACGGCCGGAAACGAGUCCGAGGGUCUGGUGACACAGAUUUCCUCAGGAGCGGAGUCUGUGUUCGGCUCCAACACCGAUGAGUGUGCGGCCUCCGUGGCGGGGUCCAUCCACCCGUCCUCGGAUGGCACGAUCUGCUCUGGAUCGAAGUCCGGAGCUAUAGCAGGAGCGAUAUCCCGAAUACUGUCCGACGGCAGAUCUAAGUCAUGCACGUCGUGAUCAUUCGGCGCUCCUGACAUGGGCCUGAAUCCAUCGAAGAUCAAGUCUGUGCGGAUGUCGGCGGUGUAGUUUAGGUUUCCAAACCUGACCUGAUGGCCAGGGGCGUAGCUGUCGGUCUGCUCCAGAUGGCCAAGCGAGUUGGACCGUAGUGCAAAGCCACCAAACACGAAGAUCUGUCUGGGGAGAAAAGUCUCACCCUGGACGGUGUCGUUGAAGAUUGAGGUAGCCAUCGAGCCUUACAACAACGACACAGAGGAACUCUCAAUGAAAGCACCAAUGUCGGUGUCAAAACCGGCGGAUCUCGGGUAGGGGGUCCCGAACUGUGCGUCUAAGGCUAAUGGUAACAGGAGACUGGGGACACGAUGUUUACCUAGGUUUGGGCCCUCUUGAUGGAGGUAAUACCCUACUUCCUGCUUGAUUGAUCUUGAUGAUAUGAGUAUUACAAGAGUUGAUCUACCACGAGAUCGUAGAGGCUAAACCCUAGAAGCUAGCCUAUGAUUAUGAUUGUGUUGUUUGUCCUACGGACUAAACCCUCCGGUUUAUAUAGACACCGGAGGGGGCUAGGGUUACACAGAGUCGGUUACAGAGAAGGAGAUCUAUCAUCCGAAUCGCCAAGCUUGCCUUCCACACAAAGGAGAGUCCCAUCCGGACACGGGAUGAAGUCUUCAAUCUUGUUAUCUUCAUAGUCCAACAGUCUGGCCAAAGCAUAUAGCUCGGCUAUCCGGAUACCCCCUUAUCUAGGACUCCCUCAGCUGUGUUGGUGGCCAAGGUGAUCCGAUGUCGUGACCAGUGUUAGGGGCAACGAGGGGGAGGGAUGAUGGAGGAGGCUAUGGUGAAGACGAGGACGACAAAGAGUUGUGGUGGAGGCUGCCUUUCUAGAAGCAGCUCCCUCCGCCUCCCUCCACGCGCACAUCAUUGAUGGUCGAUGACCAGACUGCCAUGCUCUGGACUGGAUCAAGCAAGAGGCCGCCAGCCGCAACUGGCUACUCUUCGCGCUCCUCGUUGUCAUGGGCAACGACUCGGAGGAGAUCCCAUGGGAGGCGGGGUGUCGUGGGAAUAAAUCUGAUAGUAAGGAGUAUGGGUAUGAACACAUGUUGGAUCCAACUACAGCGCAAGUGUGACACAUAUAUUUUACGAGUUUGGGCCCCUCACCAAGGAGGUAACAACCCUACGUCUCGAGCCCCGAGGCUAUGCUUUCUCUAGUGUUGGCUGACGUGGGCGCUCCGACGUCAUCUCACCAGCUGACCAGCUUCGUCGCGACAGUUCGACCGGGGGGGGGGGCUGCGCCAUCUCUUUAUAAACCUACUCAUGUCACUUCAGGGUCACCAGCCGACCAACUUCGUCACGAUAGCUGGUCCGACGGAUUUGCCCUGCCACAAGCCUAGACCACGUCAUCAAUGUCGAGCACAUUAGCCAGCUAAGUCGCUUGCAUGCUCAUUUUUUCAACUUUUUUAUUUUUGUUCGGUUCAACCAACAUUAUUUUUGUCUUAAACCAAAAAGUUGUUUGUUAAAAACACUUCUUUUUCCCAUGUCAACUCGGGCCUCUUAAAUUCGUAUGAGCUGUUUUAUAAUAAAUAUUUUCUUCUUAGCCAUUGUAAAGUCUUUUUCUACUACUCCUUUUUCCGACGUGAGUGUGUGGUCAAUAGCCGGAUGGUCUGGUUUCUCCCUAGUGCCGCCAAGGCCAGUCCUAAGGGGGGGUAGGAGGGGCAGCCACCCCGGCCCCCCAUGAUCAGGGGCCCCCUCCCAGAUAUGUACGUUGCAUGUAGCAUACGCACGUCGUAGUGCUUUCUUCCUCUCUGAUCGCUGAGUGCCAAGGUACACUACUACAGGAUGCUGCUAACGCGACACUAGGUCAGAGACCCUCCGAGAAACUAUGUGCGAUGCAAUAAUCACAAACGGUGGUGUUAGAGAACCGUCAAAAAUGUCCAAAAUGUUUGCGAUGAUGUAUGCAUCAAACACGGUUCAGAUUUUGGUUCCAUGUGCGAUGCAGGGCAUACGGUUUAGUUUAAUUAACUGUUUGCGAUGAGGAGGAACAAAAGAAACGUGCAGCCAGAUGAAGGCGUGUGCGAUACACAACAUACGGUUCACCCAGAUGAACUGUUUGUGUUGAGGCGGAACAACAGAAAUGGACAGCCAGAUGAAGGUGUGUGCGAUAUACGGCAUACAGUUCACUCGGAUGAACUGUUUGUGUUGAGCCAAGAGAACAGAAACAGUUCAACUUAACAAGAUGUGUGUGAUACGCGACAAACAGGUCUGUAAUCAGAAAUAUGUUGGAAGACCGCUAACAACACAGACGAUUCAUGUUAACAAGCCGUGUGUGUUGUGAGCAAAUGAUUGCUGGUAUACAAUCGUCAGUGAUUGAUGAAAUCAUCACCGGUGGGUUCCCUUGUUUAGUCCAUGUGCGAUGUGAUUUGCUCUGUCUACAGAGCAUUAACAAAUAUACUUAAAAAGACAGCAUUGCAUAACCAAUUUAAGCAUACAAUUAGACAAGUGACUACACAGAUAACAUUUUCACACACCAAAGUAAGCAAUUACAUGCAUACUAAACUAGGAGAAACAAGGAUCUAAUCAUCUAUUUCUUGUUGCGACGACGCUUGCCAUUGCUCUGCUUCCAGCUGGAUCCCUCACCGUUUUGGGGAAGGAGGCACUUCCUCAUGUCAACGAUCUGCAUGUACAUGUCGUAGCACGUGUACGCCUCCUUCUCCAUGUACACGACGUGAUCUUUGUCGAGUUUCUUCAUCCAGGCCGAGUGCCAGGCAUGCUUGUCGUUGUUGCAGGAAUCCUUCAUGUCUAUGUAGUAGGGGUUGAUGAUGGCCUCGGCGAGCUGAACCAGUGAGUCCUUCUCAUACUCCUUGCUGCCCCAGAUCUUGUAUUGGCCCUGGAUGUCGACAAGAUUCUGGUAGGCGAUGCCCAAAUUCUUGAGCACCUUGACAUCGUUGGUGAUGUCGGCCAUAGUGAACAUGUAGUGGGGGCUGUUGACAAACCUGGCGAAAUGCCCGCAAGGCCUUGUGGCCAGGCAGUAGUGGUAGACGAGGACGUGGUGGCCCACGCACAUCUAGGCAAUGGUGACCUUGGGACGAUACCCGGCACAAGCACGGGUGUGCUCGAUGUCGAACCCGGCCACCUUGUACUUCUCAUUGGCAAGCAAUAGCUCCAUGAUGCGGAUGGAGUGCUCCACCCAGACCGGGUGAUUGGUGUACACCACCGAGAGCUCCUCGAACCUUCGGUGGGUAUCCAUCACGGCAUGGAUGGAAAUCUGCUGCUCGUUGGCGGCAGCAGCUCGGAGCACCAUUGGAGCGUGCAGGAUACUCUCUAAGAAUUUGUCGUGGUGGGUGUGCUUCUUGCAAUGGUGGGGCGCGAUCGAAAGGUUGAAGAGACACGAGGGUUAAAUAGCCGUUGUAACAAAUGGGGGCCAACCGGCCUGAUCGUCACGUCUUGUCACGGUGUUCAUAGCGGAGGAUUCCAGUGCACGCUUGACAACACCGCACCGCAGUGAGGAUUCUAGUGCACGCUUGACAACACCGCACUGCAGUUUGACCACGCAUGGGCUCGAAGAGGCGCGAAAUGUAUCGUUGGUGAGCCUGUUCCCACGCUACCACGCAGUUUACCGUGCAAGCUUCCCGCCCGGCUUGGUUUGCCAUGUGUCGGCUAGAAGAGGGACAAAUCGUGGGCAUUUAUUGGCAAAAAGCUUUGUAAAAAUGAAGUGUGUGGAAUGACUUCAAUCGUAAGUUUACCCAUGGGUGAUGAAGUCAAAGUUACACAGAAGGGUGAUGAUGGACACUCGAGUGCGAUAAUUAAUUAUGCGCUCUACAGGGCACAUGGUGGAAGAAACCAACUAUGUGCAAUAAUGUCCAAAAUCGUAAUCGAGUUAGCUAUACAGAUCAUGUGCUGUGAGAUCGACAAGGUAAACAGAUUCGAGAAUGGUUAAUAGAAUCAAAUUUAAGACCAUUGCAUAUUAACUUAAAAAUAGUGCUACCAAUAUAAGAGUCUCAUACGAUGCCAUUUCAACGAUUGUACGGCAAAGGAUCAAAAUAUUACAAGGUUCAAAUUCCAGAGUUAUAUGGCUCAAAUUCGAAGAUUGCAAGGUUCAAACUGAUAUUAGAAAUGAAAUUCAGCUCAUCAGCUGCAAACGCUCGUGCUGAUCCGCUGAACAUGGAUAUCAGAGAGGUUCAAACUAAUAUUACCACUUCUAAGUCUGGUUUCGAAACCUCACAACUUUUGCAAAGGGGUCGGCCACUGAGAAGUCAUGUAUGGGGUUAACAUGAUGAGUUCCGAUUACUCUGUCAUCUGAAGUUCCAAAAUGAAAUUCAGCAUUUUUGGAGCCUAUUCCAUUCUGCCGCAGGCGCCGGUGCUGAUCAACAAACCAUUCAUUUUCGCAAAAUAAAUGUAGGGAAAACCCCAUUACCUUCAGCACCCUUGCUCUAAAAACCAAGAACCUGGCGAAUAUAAUCUCCGGUAAGGUCCCUCGAUAGGAGUUCAAAGUAAUUUCUGAGAGAUGCAGAUCUAGGCAUUCGACGUGAUUGUUAUACUGCAUCACAUUAUACAUCACUGGGCCUAAUCUGUCGGCGUUCUGGGAACGGGGGUACCCAGACUUGCCUGCCUGCGGCCUGCGGCGUGGCUCAAGGAGUGGCCCAGUAUGACCCAUCUUCAUCGACACAUGCUCAAGACCCUCGCGAGGGGCCAAGCCUCGCGGGGCGGAUGACAGGAAGCUUCCUCAGGCACAGCCUCGUCAGGCUGGCUCGCGAGGAGGCGGAGAGAUCAAGGCGGGGUACCUCACGAGGUGCCCAUGACGCAAGCCAUGACGACCGAAGCCAGGCGGGCGCCGGCCUGCGCAGAGUCCUUGUUUCCUCUUUGGUGCAAAGGGGGCAAGCGCAGGCAAGGGUAUCAAGCAAAGGCAACCAUUUCGGUGCAACAAGACCAAGACCAGCAGAACGGCAGGAUGGAGGUCAUCGUGGAGCCCAAGCCGGCGUCA